rnacentral:rRNA from 1 species
UGGGGAAUUUUGGACAAUGGGCGCAAGCCUGAUCCAGCAAUGCCGCGUGCAGGAUGAAGGCCUUCGGGUUGUAAACUGCUUUUGUACGGAACGAAACGGCUCCUAUUAAUACUGGGGGCUAAUGACGGUACCGUAAGAAUAAGCACCGGCUAACUACGUGCCAGCAGCCGCGGUAAUACGUAGGGUGCGAGCGUUAAUCGGAAUUACUGGGCGUAAAGCGUGCGCAGGCGGUUAUAUAAGAUAGAUGUGAAAUCCCCGGGCUCAACCUGGGACCUGCAUAUGUGACUGUAUAGCUAGAGUACGGUAGAGGGGGAUGGAAUUCCGCGUGUAGCAGUGAAAUGCGUAGAUAUGCGGAGGAACACCGAUGGCGAAGGCAAUCCCCUGGACCUGUACUGACGCUCAUGCACGAAAGCGUGGGGAGCAAACAGGAUUAGAUACCCCCGUAGUCCCUGAGCGGGCUGGCAAGGCGCAU